rnacentral:rRNA from 1 species
AGAACGACUCUCGGCAACGGAUAUCUCGGCUCUCGCAUCGAUGAAGAACGUAGCGAAAUGCGAUACUUGGUGUGAAUUGCAGAAUCCCGUGAACCAUCGAGUCUUUGAACGCAAGUUGCGCCCCAAGCCAUUAGGCCGAGGGCUCGUUUGCCUGGGUGUCACGU